rnacentral:rRNA from 1 species
AGUCGAACGAAGAUCGUUAUAAAAAGGAUUGAAGAUUUAUCGGAUUGAGAUUUUAUAACAAUGGUCUUAGUGGCGGACUGGUGAGUAACGCGUAAGGAACCUGCCUUUUAGAGGGGAAUAACAAUGAGAAAUCAUUGCUAAUACCGCAUAUGCCAUAGUUAUCACAUGAUAAUAGUGGGAAAGGAGCAAUUCGCUAAAAGAUGGCCUUGCGUCUGAUUAGAUAGUUGGUAAGGUAACGGCUUACCAAGUCGACGAUCAGUAGCCGGACUGAGAGGUUGAACGGCCACAUUGGGACUGAGAUACGGCCCAGACUCCUACGGGAGGCAGCAGUCGGGAAUAUUGCGCAAUGGAGGAAACUCUGACGCAGUGACGCCGCGUAUAGGAAGAAGGUUUUCGGAUUGUAAACUAUUGUCGUUAGGGAAGAGAAAGGACAGUACCUAAGGAGGAAGCUCCGGCUAACUACGUGCCAGCAGCCGCGGUAAUACGUAGGGAGCGAGCGUUAUCCGGAAUUAUUGGGUGUAAAGGGUGCGUAGACGGGAAAGCAAGUUAGUUGUGAAAUCCCUCGGCUUAACUGAGGAACUGCAACUAAAACUACUUUUCUUGAGUGCAGGAGAGGUAAGUGGAAUUCCUAGUGUAGCGGUGAAAUGCGUAGGUAUUAGGAGGAACACCAGUGGCGAAGGCGACUUACUGGACUGUAACUGACGUUGAGGCACGAAAGUGUGGGGAG